AGACCUGUGGUCCCUAUAGAGUCGUGGUGGUCCAGAGGUGACCUGGCUGCAGUUGAGAGUCUCUGGGCCCUGACUCUGAGCUCUGCUCUUCCCUGUCUGGACGCUCACCCCUGGGACCCAGUCCCUGACCUCCCAACAGCCUCCACACUGGUUCACUCAGAUGGACUGUGACAGCCACCUGGCCAAGUGUCUAUCAGAGAUGACCGUCGACAUGACCUGGUGAUAGUCCACAGAGUCUUCUUCUGACACCAAGGAUGGAUGGAGGUCUGGAAGGACAGCCAGCUGGCCGUUGCACCACAUUUGGGUCGUGUUCACUUGGCACAAAACCGAAGAAAAUGGACCGAAUUGGGGAGGUGCGAUCGGAACUUGUCGAAUUAAAAAUGCUUGUUUUUGCCUUUACCCUUUGUAAGAUUUCCAACCCUUGUUAGGACCUCUUACUGGCCCACCUCCGCCCCUUCCCACCAACCUAUCAUCAUGCACUACAAGGUUGGAAUCAUAGAGAUGGAUCGAGGGCACACCUGCCACUAAGCAUUUGAGGCGUACCACUUCCCAUCGCUAUGGUUGGAAACAAUCUCUGAUGUGUCCCAUAUUGCUUCAUUCAGAUACACAUUUUGUUCUCUCUUCCGCUCCUAACCGCAUAUGCUGCCAUAGAAAUAGAAUGAAUAGAACGAGCGUCCCCAUUCAAGCCAACAAAGGUAUAAUGGGUGGGCUGGUGGCCAAAGCGAGGAGCAAAGCAGGAAGUGUACCCUGUAGUAGUUAGUAGAAGUAGUUGCCAUUGCGCCCUGGUAGCCUAAGCAGAAAGCUCCUGUAAAUACUGCCUUCAGAAAGUCUUCACACCCCUUUACUUUUCCCACAUUGUGUUACAGCCUGAAUUUGAUUAAAAUGGAUUAAAUUGAGAUUUUUUGUCACUGGCCUACACUCAACACCCCAUAAUGUCACAAUACCCGAUAAGUAUAAUUAUGUUUUUAAAAUGUUAUUUGACAAAUUAAUGAAAAGCUGAAAUGUCUUUAGUUAAUAAUUAUUCAACCCCUUUCUUAUGGCAAGCGUAAAUAAGUUCAAGAGUAAAAAUGUGCUUAACAAGUAACUUAAGUUGCAUGGACUCACUUUGUGUUCAAAAAGUGUUUAAUUAGAUUUUUAAAUGACAACCUCAUCUCUGUACCCCACACACACAAAUCAAAUUAAACACUUAUCUGUCAGGUCCCUCAGUCGAACAGUGAAUUUCAAACACAGAUUCAACCACAAGGACCAGGGAGGAUUUCCAAUACUUUGCAAAGAAGGGCACCUAUUGGUGGAUGGGUAAAAGCAGACAUUGAAUAUCCCUUUGAGCAUGGUGAAGUUAUUACACUGAACAAAAAUAUAAAGGCAACAUGCAACAUUUUCAAAUAUUUUACAGUUACAGUUCAUAUAAGGAAGUCAAUCAAUUCAAAUAAAUAAAUUAGGCCCUAAUCUAUGGAAUUCACAUUACUGGGAAUAUAGAUAUGCAUACAGUGCAUAUGGAAAGUAUUCAGACCCCUUGACUUUUUCCACAUUAAGUUAUAGCCUUAUUCUAAAAUGGUUUAAAUGUUGUUUUUUUCCAUCAGUCUUCACACAAUACCCC
rnacentral:lncRNA from 1 species